CAAUGAAUUUGUAAGGCGUAUUUGGACGGCGUUCUGAUAUACAAGUUAUAUUUGCAAGAAGAUAGAGAGAACAAGAAUCGACUAUUUCAAGAAUGUGAGUACAAACUCUGUUCUUUGUUGAAGGCGGUCGAUGGCCCUCAGAAUUUGUCUUUGUGAAUAUGGAUGCUUCGCCUUAUAGUCUCCUUCAAUCACUUUUUGAUCAUGAACACCAUGUUGGAAUACUUGAUGAGGAGAAGAUCUUACAAUGGAUACAGAAAUCAAUGUUGGUGUUUGCAAUUUGGAAAUUUUUUUUGUGUUAUGUAACAUUUGUACUUUAUAUUGAUAAACAACAGUAUGUGAUUAA